rnacentral:rRNA from 1 species
AUCGUAUAACUGAGGCACAAGGGCUGUCGCUGACUUUUCGUCGUGCACGCCCAAAGUGCUCUCAAUCAUCCAUCUCACCCCUAUGUGCACCACCGCGUGGGUCCCCCUUUGGCUUGUCCUCAGGGGGGCUUGCGUUUUCAUACAAACUCGAUACAGUGUAGAAUGUCUUUAUUUUGCGGUAACACGCAAUCAAUACAACUUUCAACAACGGAUCUCUUGGCUCUCGCAUCGAUGAAGAACGCAGCGAAAUGCGAUACGUAAUGUGAAUUGCAGAAUUCAGUGAAUCAUCGAAUCUUUGAACGCACCUUGCGCCCCUUGGCAUUCCGAGGGGCACACCCGUUUGAGUGUCGUGAAAUUCUCAAAACCCUUUCUUUUAAAGGAUUUGGAAUUGGAAGGUUUUUUGGUGGGUUCCCAUUGAAACCAGCUCCUCCUAAAUGGAUUAAUGGGGGCCGGUUUGGCCAACCUUGACCUGAUUAGAAGGUUCCACCUCUCCGGGUUGGCAUCCGGGACCUGGUUCUAACCCUCUCAUCCACAAUGAUGGCGCUUCCGUCACCAACCGUUCAUCGGUGGGAGGGUUGAACCAACAAAAAAACCUUGAACUCCAAUCGGGGGGAAUACCCGGUGAACUUAA